UGGCGACAGGCCUAACACAUGCAAGUCGAGGGGCAGCACAAGGAGCAAUCUGAGGUGGCGACCGGCGCACGGGUGAGUAACACGUAUGCAACCUGCCUGUAAGCGGGGAAUAACCCGUUGAAAGACGGACUAAUACCGCAUAAUACUAAAUUACUGCAUGGUAAUUUAUUUAAACAUUUAUGGCUUACAGAUGGGCAUGCGCAUGAUUAGCUAGUUGGAGAGGUAACGGCUCCCCAAGGCAACGAUCAUUAGGGGUUCUGAGAGGAAGGUCCCCCACACUGGUACUGAGACACGGACCAGACUCCUACGGGAGGCAGCAGUGAGGAAUAUUGGUCAAUGGACGAGAGUCUGAACCAGCCAAGUCGCGUGCAGGAAGAAUGUUCCCUAUGGAUUGUAAACUGCUUUUGCAGGGGAAUAAAGUGCAUCACGUGUGAUGUUUUGUAUGUACUCUGCGAAUAAGGAUCGGCUAACUCCGUGCCAGCCGCCGC
rnacentral:rRNA from 1 species